CAAUAGCGUAUAUUUAAGUUGUUGCAGUUAAAAAGCUCGUAGUUGGAUUUCGGAUGGGAUCUGCCGGUCCGUCUUUGAGAUGUGUACUGGUAGGUCCUAUCUUGUUGUCGGGGACCAGCUCCUGGGCUUCACUGUCCGGGACUGGGAGCCGACGAAGUUACUUUGAGUAAAUUAGAGUGUUCAAAGCAAGCCUACGCUCUGAAUAUAUUAGCAUGGAAUAACACGAUAGGACUCUGGCUUAUCUUGUUGGUCUGUGAGACCAGAGUAAUGAUUAAGAGGGACAGUCGGGGACAUUCGUAUUUCGUUGUCAGAGGUGAAAUUCUUGGAUUUACGGAAGACGAACAUCUGCGAAAGCAUUUGCCAAGGAUGUUUUCAUUGA
rnacentral:rRNA from 1 species